GCAGUGGAUCAUUGACUGUGAACCUCUGACACGCUCCAUGUUGACCGUCAGCUUUCAAAGCAGCAUAGCGGCUGGGCUCUUCACUCCUCCAUGGCAGAACUAAACAGCUGACUGAGCUUCACAGGGUUCCAGUGUGGAUUGGAGGAUGAAGAGUUGUGAAAGUGUCCAGUCAGUCCAGUGAGGUCUGGAUGGGAUGUGGUUUCAGAGUUCAGUCAGAGGAGGAGGAGAGUGAACAGGCUGCAGAGCUUCUACCAGACCAUGUGGGGGCAGCACUUGUUCUCAGGCUCCUGGCCUUGAUUGGGAGCUCGCCAUCAGGAAUUUGAUCUCAUUGCAGAACACCUGGCUGCACGGACCAAACUAUUCCACUGAGAAAGUUCAAGUCAGCAUGAAGCUAAGCUAACGCCAAGCUAACAGCUGAAAGACUAAUGGCUGCACAACACAUUGACACCAUGUUAACACAUUAGCAUGUUAGCAUAUUAGCAUUGCAGCAUAUUAGCAUGUAGGCAUUAGUAUGUCAGUACAUUAGCAUUGUAGUAUUGCCAUGUCAGCAAAUUAGCAUGUUAGCAUUAGUAUGUCAGCCUAUUAGCAUGUUUACGUUAGCAUUAACAUUAGCAUGUCAGCACAUCAGCAUGUCAGCAUAUUAGCAUGGUAGCAUCAGCAUGUCUUUGCAUUAUCGUGUCAGGGAAUCAGCAUGUUAGCAUCAGAGUGUCAGGAUAUUAGCAUGUUAGCUUCAGCACAUCACGGUAUUUACAUGUUAGCAUAAUUAUGUCAGCAAAUUAGUAUAUCAGCAUUAGCAUGUGAGCACAUUAGCAUGGUGACAUGAACAUGUGGGCACAUUAGAAUUUUAGCAUUCGUAUAUCAGCACAUUAGCAUGUUAGCAUGAGCAUAUCAGGAGAGUAACGUGUUAGCAUUAGCAAGUCAGCAUAUUAGCAUUAGUGUAACAGCACAUUAACAUAAGACUUUGGUAUGUUAGCAUAGGCAUGUCAGCACAUUAGCAUGUUAGCAUUAGCAUAGUUUAACAUUAGCAUGUUAUCAUGAGUAUAUCUGGACAUUAGCAUGUUAGCAUUAGCAUGUCAGGACAUGAACAUGUUGGCACAAGUUAGCACAUGAGCAUGUUAUAAUGAGCAUGUUGGGACAUUACCAUGCUAUCAUUAGCAUGUCAACACAUUAGCAUGUUACCAUAAGUUUGUCAGGAUAUUAGCAUGUUUGCAUCAGUAUGUUGGCAAAUAAUAAGCAUGGCAGGAUUAGCAUGUAAACACGUGAGCAUGUUAGCAUUUGCAUUUUAGAAUUGGUAUGUCACCAUGUUAGCAUAAGCAUGUCAGGAUAUUACCAUGUUAGCAUAACUGUGUCAGGAUGUUAGCAUUAGCUUUUCAGCAUAAUAGUAUGUUAGCAUAAGCAUGUCAGCACAUUAGCUUGUUAGCAUUAACAUAACUCAUUAUGGGAUGUCACAAGCCACACUGUUGUUGUGUUACUCGUGUGUGUGUGUGUGUGUGUGUGUGUGUGUGUGUGUGUGUGUGUGUGUGUGUGUGUGUGUGUGUGUGUGUGUGUGUGUGUGCAAACUCUGUCCUCUAAUC